UUCUUUACCACAUCCGUUUAUCAGCAAGGUCUUUGCGGCCUGUACCUUGUGCUGACGUCCUAUCCCAUCCUGUGACUAAGAAUGCCUAACCAUCUGGGAAUGCAGUCCAUUUUAUUUCAACAGGGUUAACAUAAACAUAGUGUUUUAAGCUUAAAAUGAUGGAAAACCCCUACGUAGAUCUUCCAACGUGGACAUUCCAACAGGAAGCUAUAAAGAGAAGUAAAAGUGACAGCACAUUAUCAGUGAAAAAUAAGACUAGGUUUAAAAAGAAUUACAGACGCUCUUCCAGGUGGCAGACCCGAGUCAGCCAGGAACUGUCAACCUGGAGAUGAAGUGCCUCGCUGGGUGGCCUGCGCAUCAUGUGUGAUGAGGGAAGUGCUCCUGCUGUCACUCAGUCAUGAAUUCCUGUGCGUGGUGGGUUCCAGCAGUCAGCCAGAGGCUAUCAUCAAACUUGUUUUGCUUUGUAUUAAAUUAAACUCACUAGAAACAGUGCAAGGUCAGGAAAGGCAGUUAUCAAGGCCUUCGACCUCUAAGACUUUACAUUUGCUGUGAGUAGACCUUAGCAUGCCAGGAGAAGUUUCUCAUCAAAACCCAGCUUCCAUCAGCAAAGACAGGAGGAAGCCAAGUCAGGACCAGAGCCCCCUCUCUCCUGUAGACGGAGGAUACAUUCAGGAACUCAGAACCUGGAGGAGAGAAUGUUCAAACCAGAAGGCCCCUGGAAGACUGUGCCUGAAACGCGGCUAAGGCACCACCAGGCUGAACAGAAAACGGGGGCCUUAUCAGAGAGAAGGGAAGGGCCCCAUAGUCCAAACGCCCAGGAGGCUCCGACCUGACCCGCGGCCACGAGUGUUUGCUGCAGGACGAGAAUCUGGGGAAGAUGCAGCCAAGAAAAUGGCCUGGCCGGGCCGGGAAGAGCAGCCCACAGAGACCCGCAGCACAGAGAGGGAUGCGGGGAGCCUGCCCUGGGAGCCACCCCGGCUGAGGCUCAGGAGGGGAGCUGCGAAGCCUGAAACCCAUCGAUGAUGGCUGGUGAUGAAAACAUGUGGGUGGACCUGCUUUGAUGGCGAGAUGGACAGGUCUGAGCUCACACAUCCUCGGGAAAACAAAUAAAACUCUGUGGAAAUGGACAUGAGACACUGGGCCCUCAUUCCCCAACUUGUAGAGAUGACUGAGAAAAGCUUCCAGAAACUCGAGGACAUCACAACUUCCAGCUGGGUCAAACUCAGGGUGCUGUGAGGCCUGGGCAGAGAGACCCCCAGGGUUUCCCAGGGAUGGCGGAGUCUCUGGAGGAAGGAGACACCAUGAAGAUGGGGAUGGAAGCUGCCUGCCCCAUGGAGAGGGGAGGGGGCCGGCCACUCUCACCCCUCGAACAAAAACCGGGUGGAACCUGAGAGGAGCAAAGAAACAAACACAACCCUCACACACCUCAGGACACACACACAACACCUCACACACCUCAGGACACA
rnacentral:lncRNA from 1 species